CCGAGUGCGGGCCCUCCGGGUCCAACCUCCCACCCGUGUUUAUAAUACCUUGUUGCUUCGGCGGGCCCGCCAUUCUGGCCGCCGGGGGGCUCGCCCCCGGGCCCGCGCCCGCCGAAGACACCCCUGAACUCUGUCUGAAGCUUGUAGUCUGAGUGGAAUGAUAAAUUAGUUA
rnacentral:misc_RNA from 1 species